rnacentral:rRNA from 1 species
UACAGAGGUCUCAAGCGUUUGUUCGGAUUCAUUGGGCGUAAAGGGUGCGUAGGUGGCGUCGUAAGUCGGGUGUGAAAUUUCGGAGCUUAACUCCGAAACUGCAUUCGAUACUGCGGUGCUUGAGGACUGGAGAGGAGACUGGAAUUUACGGUGUAGCAGUGAAAUGCGUAGAGAUCGUAAGGAAGACCAGUGGCGAAGGCGGGUCUCUGGACAGUUACUGACGCUGAGGCACGAAGGCCAGGGGAGCAAACGGG